AUUGAACGCUGGCGGCAGGCCUAACACAUGCAAGUCGAACGGUAACAGGAAGCAGCUUGCUGCUUCGCUGACGAGUGGCGGACGGGUGAGUAAUGUCUGGGAAACUGCCUGAUGGAGGGGGAUAACUACUGGAAACGGUAGCUAAUACCGCAUAACGUCGCAAGACCAAAGAGGGGGACCUUCGGGCCUCUUGCCAUCGGAUGUGCCCAGAUGGGAUUAGCUAGUAGGUGGGGUAACGGCUCACCUAGGCGACGAUCCCUAGCUGGUCUGAGAGGAUGACCAGCCACACCGGAACUGAGACACUGUCCAGACUCCUACGGGAGGCAGCAGUGGGGAAUAUUGCACAAUGGGCGCAAGCCUGAUGCAGCCAUGCCGCGUGUAUGAAGAAGGCCUUCGGGUUGUAAAGUACUUUCAGCGGGGAGGAAGGCGACAGGGUUAAUAACCCUGUCGAUUGACGUUACCCGCAGAAGAAGCACCGGCUAACUCCGUGCCAGCCGCCGCGGUAACAC
rnacentral:rRNA from 1 species